rnacentral:rRNA from 1 species
UACGUAGGUGGCAAGCGUUGUCCGGAAUUACUGGGCGUAAAGCGCGUGUAGGCGGCCCUGCAAGUCGGGUGUGAAAUCCCACGGCUCAACCGUGGAAGUGCAUUCGAAACUGCAGGGCUAGAGUCCUGGAGAGGAAGGUGGAAUGCUUGGUGUAGAGGUGAAAUUCGUAGAUAUCAAGCGGAACACCGGUGGCGAAGGCGGCCUUCUGGACAGUGACUGACGCUGAGACGCGAAAGCGUGGGGAGCAAACAGG